CCCUUAGAUGUUCUGGGCCGCACGCGCGCUACACUGACGGAUUCAACGAGCUUACAACCUUGGCCGAAAGGUCUGGGUAAUCUCCAAAAUCCGUCGUGAUGGGGAUAGAUUAUUGCAAUUAUUAAUCUUCAACGAGGAAUGCCUAGUAAGCGCAAGUCAUCAGCUUGCGUUGAUUACGUCCCUGCCCUUUGUACACACCGCCCGUCGCUCCUACCGAUUGAAUGGUCCGGUGAAGCGUUUGGACUAUGGUUUUCUGAUGGUCCGCCGUUGGAUUACCGUGGGAAGUUCGUUAAACCUUAUCAUUUAGAGGAAGGAGAAGUCGUAGCA
rnacentral:rRNA from 1 species